ensembl:lncRNA
AAUCAAACUCGGCUUAUAGUUUGGCCCCUUUUGUUGCGUGUUGCCAACUCAAACUGCCCGUCCACAACAACGUUACGGCGAACAGCGAUUAUACACGCCAUAGCCCUGCGUAAAUUCUCCACGCACUUGGCAUUAUGGCGACUAUAAAUCCCGCCUAACAACCCUUUGGACCAAUUGUAUCCUUUUGUUAUGACCUAAACCAAUAGAUUGGGUUAUGUACAAGCCUUAGUGCGUCCUUGCUUGAUAAAAGCGUGUUGUGUGUCCACAGUGAAUGGACUCACGAAGCCUGAGGCAGGCAGGCAGAAUGCAGGGCCCAGCAGCGGCAGCCAGGGCCUUCACAGCCCACUACUGGCCCCUCAAUCUACUGCAGGCUACAGUGGAGGUCCGUUCAGGCCCCAGAGGGCCUCUGGGCCUCCCCAGUUGCAUUCAUGUGUGGGAGCGCGUGUCCUCAUAGCAAAUCGGGUUUCAAACAAUUGUCUUUUUCUUAGAACUAAAGCCAGGUCGUGAUUUCUUCCUGCAAUGUGCUGAGCGUAAAACUAACUUUGAACGUGACCCAACUUCUGGUUAGACGGUUGAAAGAGUGGAUGGCAGGUUGAAUCAUAAUGUGGAGAGCAUGGAGCCAUGAUACUAAGGAGGCCCAACAUGGUCUUUGGAACCCUUGGCUACAGCCUUAUCACUUUGUUAUGAUAUUCUGCAUCUCAGGGACUGCAAACUAUAGACCACUGAGUGUGCCACGGAGAUAACGAAUGAUUGUGUGGUCAGUCUGGAGGCACCGGGUGGUUUGCUUGUCUUCCACGGUGGCUCUUGUGUUUGUCUCACCAAAGGUUACCCAAGCUUUCAAGCUUCUCAGGUUUCGGUCUGCAGACCUAUCACACACAUUUAUGGGAGAUGCUAACCCUGCAUGAGAAAAUAUCGACAGGCGUCAUGGUUGGUGAAUGAUCUGUCAUUGUCCUUUGGUCAACUCUGACGAUCUCCGCAGUGAGGCUCCCUCUCAGCAGUCCCAAGAUGGAGGGCUUCCCCCGAGGCUGUGCGACCGCCAAGAAGGACCGAGGGCAUCACAGAACUGACCACGCGCAGCAAAAAGGGGUGCCGUACUGCAGACUGUCCCCUCCCCUGGAGAACGGCCUGAAGACGCCGGCCGAGCCCAAGGCGCGGGGUGGGGGCUCCGGCUCCGGUCCUCGUCCGGACAAGGCCUCUGGGCACCCCGCCCCCACCCCCACCUCCACCUCUACCAGCAGGGCCAUUCAGGAGCCGCGUGGAGCGCCAGCCUCCAGCAGCCGGAGGUCCACCAACAGCGCCAUCACCAGCUCCUCCUCCUCCUCCUCUUCCCCCGGGCGGCCCGACCCGGACAGCGGCCCCCAGGAGCCCCCAGAGAAGGCCCGGGGGAGCCGGCCCAAGGCCACGUGGCGGCCCGUGAGGGAGGUGCUGAACGUGGACAGCGUGCUCAGCGACAUGGAGCUGCGGCGCCACCCGACCCUGCCGCACCACCUCCUGGGGUCCCAGGGCCCCACCCAGGCAUGCCGACCGGCCCAGCCGUCCCCCCAGUGCAGCCGGGCGACCCGCGAGCCGGUCCAGGCCCGAGGGGGGGACGGCGAUCCGGCUCACACCCGAGGCGGGGAGCGGGAGCAGCUCCACCCCCGAGGGGAGAGCCGCGACCCGGCCCAGACCCGCGGUGGGGGGGGGGACGGUGACCGGCGCCAGCUGCAGCAGCAGCAGAAGUGUCUGAUGACCAUCUACGAGGACGAGCAGCGUCUGGAGACGGAGAGCCACAGCUCCGUGGAGUCGGAGAGCCGGCCGGGUCGGCUCAAAGGAGGG